UACGUAGGGUGCAGGCGUUAAUCGGAAUUACUGGGCGUAAAGCGUGCGCAGGCGGUCUGCUAAGACAGGUGUGAAAUCCCCGGGCUUAACCUGGGAACUGCGCUUGUUACUGGCAGGCUGGAGUGUGGCAGAGGGGGGUGGAAUUCCUCGUGUAGCAGUGAAAUGCGUAGAGAUGUGGAGGAACACCGGUGGCGAAGGCAGCCCCCUGGGAUGUGACUGACGCUCAUGUACGAAAGCGUGGGGAGCAAACAGG
rnacentral:rRNA from 1 species